rnacentral:lncRNA from 1 species
UAAGUUGGAUGAGUUUAUCUUAUUAAGCCUUCGUUUGAAAUUGCGGGGAGAUUGCGUUACGUGCGGUGAGAAAGUACGUUGAAAAAAUAUUCUGUUUAUUUUCGUACGUAAUAUUACGUUCCGUAUAUUACGAUGAGUCGGUUACGGCGGCCCCACCGGAGAACAUAGAAGCAUAUCCCUAUAUACUUUUUCUUCAACUCUAUUUUAUCUAAUAGCGUUAGAUAGGCCUCAAUACCAAACUAAACCUAAGCCAUGUCAUUUAGAGUUAGCUUAUACUAAAAUGA